GACGAACGCUGGCGGCGUGCUUAACACAUGCAAGUCGAACGGAAAGACCCUGCUUUUGUGGGGUGCUCGAGUGGCGAACGGGUGAGUAACACGUGAGUAACCUGCCCUUGACUUUGGGAUAACUUCAGGAAACUGGGGCUAAUACCGGAUAGGAGCUCCUGCUGCAUGGUGGGGGUUGGAAAGUUUCGGCGGUUGGGGAUGGACUCGCGGCUUAUCAGCUUGUUGGUGGGGUAGUGGCUUACCAAGGCUUUGACGGGUAGCCGGCCUGAGAGGUGACCGGCCACAUUGGGACUGAGAUACGGCCCAGACUCCUACGGGAGGCAGCAGUGGGGAAUAUUGCACAAUGGGCGGAAGCCUGAUGCAGCAACGCCGCGUGCGGGAUGACGGCCUUCGGGUUGUAAACCGCUUUCGCCUGUGACGAAGCGUGAGUGACGGUAAUGGGUAAAGAAGCACCGGCUAACUACGUG
rnacentral:rRNA from 1 species